AGUGGCGGACGGGUGAGGAAUACAUCGGAAUCUACUUUUUCGUGGGGGAUAACGUAGGGAAACUUACGCUAAUACCGCAUACGAUUGAAUGAGCCGAUGUCGGAUUAGCUAGUUGGCGGGGUAAAGGCCCACCAAGGCGACGAUCCGUAGCUGGUCUGAGAGGAUGAUCAGCCACACUGGAACUGAGACACGGUCCAGACUCCUACGGGAGGCAGCAGUGGGGAAUAUUGGACAAUGGGCGCAAGCCUGAUCCAGCCAUACCGCGUGGGUGAAGAAGGCCUUCGGGUUGUAAAGCCCUUUUGUUGGGAAAGCGGUACCCAAAGAAUAAGCACCGGCUAACUUCGUGCCAGCAGCCGCGGUAAUACGAAGGGUGCAAGCGUUACUCGGAAUUACUGGGCGUAAAGCGUGCGUAGGUGGUCGUUUAAGUCCGUUGUGAAAGCCCUGGGCUCAACCUGGGAACUGCAGUGGAUACUGGGCGACUAGAUGUGGUAGAGGGUAGCGGAAUUCCUGGUGUAGC
rnacentral:rRNA from 1 species